AGCACAUCCAACCACAGAGGACGGAUUAGUUGGCUAUUUUUUUUAAGGUGCCUGGAUCCAGUGAUGUAAGCAUCAAAACUUGUCAAGUCUUGGUGACAGAAACGCCUCCCCACUCGCUUUUUGGAGAGUGAUUCCGGAUUUGGCGUCUGAGCAGCUCUUGCUGUUGCCAGGCCUCUAGCAGGGCACACAGUGUGCAGUGGGGUGGCAGGUGGACAGAGGGUAGAGAGAAGCAAGAAAACUCUAGAGCAUUUUCCCAGAGUGGAAGUUGGGCCUGAAUUCUACAGAAUGAUACCCAGAGUGAGAUGAGAAAGAAAAACAAAGGAAGAUGGAAGACAAGGAGUUCUUCCCAAAGUGCCACUUGAUAAGAACUUAGAACACAGAUCCAACUUCUGGCUGAAAUAACAAGUUCUUUUUAUUGAGUUAUAAUUAACGUAUACCAUUAGUUUUAGGAGC